rnacentral:lncRNA from 1 species
AGUUCCUCUGAAGCUGGAUGCAGAGCGAGGAGCACUGCGAGCUGGCAGCUGGAGCCCCAGGCACAAUGACAGCGUGUUUUGCCAAAACACUGCCAACCAAUUUCUGCUGAAGUCUCCUGUUACUACCCGGAGAUGUGUUUGUUCCCACCGCUUUGCAUCCAGAUACCAUGGGCUGAGCUCCACGCUGCACCUGGAGAGGAGUCUUCGCAAUUCAGCAGAACUGGAACAUGCUGCUUGAAUUUCCUAGCAGACAAUGGGGACGUCUGUGGGGCUCGCCAGCCCUGCCUCCCCCCAGCACAGGCUGGGGACCCAGCGGGUGGCAGCUUCCAGGAGUGCUCGCCUCCCUGCCCGGCACAGCGCGGAACCAGAGCAAACGUCCCUGAAAUCACAGCCCUGACUGUGCCGAGCGCUGGAAGCAUUCCCUCACAGGGAGGGUUUGAAAGACAGUCCGCGUAUUUACCUUGUCCCCUCCUUACGCUGCAGAGCGUUUGGUGAUGGUGAACACAGGUGACAGAGGCGUAGAAGUGCGUGCGAGCUGUUAGAAAUGUCUGCGGACUGAAAACCAUUACUUAUCUCCUCACAGCGUCUCCCUCCUCCUCGUUUUCUGUGCCUUGCAGAGUUUAUUUUUGUCGUCUUUGUGGAAAGCAGAGAUCACUAGCAGUGUCUCUGUAAAACCCAAGCAUGAAAGCAGUUUGGAAAACAUUUAUUACUUAAGUUACAACAUAUUCCUACAAGUAUUUUUUAAUUGUUCAUUUAGGAUAGAAGUAAAAGAAAUGGAAUAAGAGGAGAGAAACAUAUUUAGAAUUGCGUUCACAUCAAGGAAUGUGUGGAGCUGUAGAAAGUUGUUGUAUGUGUGGUGCCAGAAAUAACCAUUAAAAAUGAAGAAGUGAACAGGCCACCUUUUCCCACGCUGACCUUAUUUUAGUUUUCACAUGAGUAUGAAUUGUAGUGGCAUUUGUGCCUUUGAAUGUCAGGGAAGAGCAGCCCCUCGGUCGGCCGGCUGCUGCCCCUUUCCUUCCUUCCUCCACGUGCACUGCCUACAGAUCCAUGCAGCCAGUGGUUGUUGGGACAUCCCUCUGUGUGAAAAGCUCUUCCCAGCGGUCUUCUGUAAUAGCACAAAGCUAAAAAGCAAAUGCAGUGUGCUGCCUGACAGAGGUAGGUGUGACCUGUAAGAAGCAACUGGCCUGCAGGGCAUUUUUCCUUUCUUUACUUCUGGCUGGUAAGUCAUUAGCCUUACCCUGGGACAACAAGGUAGGAGUUUGCUGCUUCAUUUAGCUGUGUCUGACCUGGGCAGAAGUCAUGUCUGACUGACUGGGACACAGGAAGAAAGGAAGACGUGCGUCUGUCCGCUGCUAUGCCCC